rnacentral:misc_RNA from 1 species
UGUACUUACCAUUCAAAGCGACUCGAGGGAAGGAGAAUUUGAUUGAUCAAGUUUGCCUUCCGCAGGUCAAAAGAAAACCAAAAUGAAAGCUCAAAUUGAUGUUUCUUCAGUUUAUUCACUCCGAGCAUCGAUUCCAAGGCGGCAGAUCGGAUUUUUCUUCACUAGACCAAGAUCCACCUUGUGGCCGAAGAGAUCCCGAAUGUUAUCAACACCGUACAAGAUCAUGGUUGGUCUCUCAAGCGAAAGACCCCAUGCAAUAAUACGAG